AGGCACAGCAUAAUAGUCAGGGGAAGGAUCACUCUGUAAAGUUACUGAAUUCAGAACCCCUUUGAAAAGGCAGGCCAAUGCUUUUGUGGUACCACAGGAUUCAUGAUUGAGUGAGUCAUUCUUUUAUUGCUAUUAUCUGGCUACAUAAGAGCAUUCUACGCGAGAUGAAGCAAUGUAGCUAAUGCAGGAAGAAUGAGGCUGGCAAAGCAAGAAAAAAGUGUAAAAAACUUUAAUGGAAGCCAAACCAGAAUUAAUAAGUUAUUUAUGAAAGUUUUAAAAGUUAUGUUUUAAAAAUGA